rnacentral:rRNA from 1 species
CAUUACAGAGUUGCAAAACUCCCAACCCUUUGUGAACGUACUGAAAAGUUGCUUCGGCGGGAGGCUCCUCAGGGAGCGGACCGCCGGAGGAAUCCAAACUCUUGUUUUUUUGGCAUCUCUGAGUAGCUUAUAAAUAAGUUAAAACUUUCAACAACGGAUCUCUUGGUUCUGGCAUCGAUGAAGAACGCAGCGAAAUGCGAUACGUAAUGUGAAUUGCAGAAUUCAGUGAAUCAUCGAAUCUUUGAACGCACAUUGCGCCCGCCAGUAUUCUGGCGGGCAUGCCUGUUCGAGCGUCAUUUCAACCAUCAAGCCCCAGGCUUGUGUUGGAGCCCUGCGGCUGCCGCAGCCUCCUAAAAGCAGUGGCGGGCUCGCUAUCACACCGAGUGCAGUAGUUUACUCUUCGCUCAGGGCGUGUGGCGGGUUCCAGCCGUUAAACCCCCUACUUUUACAAGGUUGACCUCGGAUCAGGUAGGAAUACCCGCUGAACUUAAGCAUAUCAAUAAGCGGAGGAAAAGAAACCAACAGGGAUUGCCCUAGUAACGGCGAGUGAAGCGGCAACAGCUCAAAUUUGAAAUCUGGCUCCGGCCCGAGUUGUAAUUUGCAGAGGAAGCUUCUGGUGAUAUACUGUCUAAGUCCCCUGGAACGGGGCGCCACAGUGGGUGAGAGCCCCAUAUGACGGAUGUAGAUCCUGUGUGAAGCUCCUUCGACGAGUCGAGUAGUUUGGGA